AUCAGGGGUAAACCUGUGGAACUCGAACGAACGAACGGGGAGAUUCAUCGUAUUUCCGGUCGGGUCUGCGAUGCGAUUUUUCCGCGGUCGUGGCGUCGUCUCGUGCGGCGUUUUCGCGAUCGUGGGGGUCGUGUCGUGUAUUGAUUCCCGGAGUGCGUGCACUUCUCCCUCAGUAAAACACCGCGACCCGUUCGGUGUGUCGGGAUCGAACCCGUCGUGCAGUUGACCCGUUUUGGACGUAAAAAAUUCGGAGCGGAGCUGCGACGUGGCGAUCUCGGACGGACGGUAAAAAACGAGGUCUGCUUCCGCCGUUUCGACGGCGUCCGUAUUUCGUACCCUGUCGGUCCCGUUCGGACUUCGACGUUUCGAGCGUCGUGGUUUUCCGUUCGCGGUUUUCCGGCCGGGUUGCGGGAUGUCUCGGACGGGAAGCGUCCCGGUCGGCGGUGGUUUUGUUUCGGGCACUCACAGGACCC
rnacentral:rRNA from 1 species